rnacentral:lncRNA from 13 species
CCUAGACCUUCACAUUCUUCCAUUGACUCGCCCAGAACAACUUUCUGUCCUUCGAGCUCUGUGCAUAAUGCAGCAUAAAAUAUACCAGAAACCUAAACCACUGAACCUUUCACAUCUGGUUUUCCUACUUUAAACAUCAAAGACUUCAAUUUUUUUUCUUUUUCUUUUCUGUUCUCUGUAUAAUG